GUGGGUAGCAGUCAUCGGCAGAGAAAACAUGAUGUAUUUGUCACCUAUGGCUGUCCUGUGCCCUGGAGAUUGGAUUCAAUGAGAUUCAAAUCCCGGUUCUCUGCCCUCAAUGGUGGUUCAGUGCUUGUACCACCCCGUGCCAGGUCCUGGGCAAGUGUUUUCACUCGUCCCUCUUUCUCUUGGUCCUUGUGUUUCCAAGAGCUGCCUUGGGACUGGCUCAUGUCAGUCUGUGCAGGAAGCUCAGCCCGUUUACCACUUUCCACAGGAAAAUCUGCCCCCAAGCACAUCAUGAGUUUAGGACCAUUACUGAUGAUUGGUGAGGGCACAGGAAGCUACUGCACCACAAACCAUUGUCUUCUCCUACCUUGCCGGUCUAUCUGGACCUCCCUGGCCUUCCUCUGCCUUCUCCUUUCUCUGGAAGUUGCUCCUUUUCUUCUAUGAGAGCGUGCCAUCCUUGCAUAUUCAGGUCCCCAUGGGGACUCACUUCCCCCCAACAAAUACAUUUGCCUUCCUAAGGAGAGUUCUGAUGAAUACAAUGUUCUACAUAUACAUAACUGUAUCCAUUUGUGUUUUGCAGAGCAUUGAAAUCAUAUAGCAGCAUCAUCCAGACCUGCAGAAUCAUACGUGAUCAUAGCCAGUUCACACUGAAAAAAGCCUUGUAGGAGAUUCGCCAACCUAAUCAUUCAGCUUACAGGUGUGCCUGAAACAAAGAAAAGAAAUGCAGAUAAUUGGAUCUUCAUGACAUUUUCCCAACUGGCCACUUUCCCUGUAACAAGACCAAGCCUGUCUCUUCCAUUGUACUCUCGUGAGCUACCUGGGUCAGAACCUGAAAUCUUGGCGCAGAAGUCCUGUGGCCUGGUGCCUGAAACAAAGAAAAGAAAUGCAGAUAAUUGGAUCUUCAUGACAAUUUCCCAACUGGCCACUUUCCCUGUAACAAGACCAAGCCUGUCUCUUCCAUAUGGGUCAGCCAUAUCCCACCCACUCCUCCUGGGAUUUGACUUGGGGAAUGUGGACAGAAUCACACAGUCAGUAGAAGUUGGAAAGUAGGCGGAAGUGGCCACAUGGGGUAGGGACAUAUCAGAGUUAUGAUGAAUCAGAAGCAGAAGCCCCAAGUUGAAGAAGAGAUACAAAGCUUGGAAGCAGGAAGAGAUGGAGCGGACACACAAAGGAAUCCAACACUGGAGAACGGCAACGUAAAGGUGGCGUGCUAGGGGAAAGCUCCAGAAUUCCUGCAGCUGGGCGCUGGAGCCACCCUGAACUUUCAAAGACCUCCCUAUUCCAGUCUCCACAAUCCCAGGUCCUGGUAUGUCCCUGGAUUUGGGGGGAGAUUCUGGCUCCUUUGUAGCACCACAAUAAACCCUUAUUGCCUGAGUUAUCCCAAGUGACUCCCUGUUCUUUAUGGGCUCACAAGCCAACACACC
rnacentral:lncRNA from 10 species